rnacentral:lncRNA from 1 species
GACGUUUUCCAAAUAUUUUUUCAGAACUCUCUAAAGUCCUUACGAUGAAUCACUAAACACUUCUUUGCUCGAAAUUCUAAAUCAAAACAUCAUAAACCAAAAACAAAGACCAUCAGAGAAGAAGAAGAGGAACCUAACUUAUCUAACGCUUCGUUACCAGAACAAUCAAAAUCCACACAGUAAAGCCAUCUGAGUCCACAGAUCCCGCUGAGGCAGGAGGCUGUAAGGGAACAGGACAAAUCGGCUGCAGGUCACUGGAAGAAGAUCAAACGGUAAAGAAGAAAGGAUAAAUUAGGUAAUAAUACUCAACUUUUAUCUUGGUGGAAGUUUGUUGAUGGUGUUGAUGAGAUGAUUUAUGGAGGAAGAGCAAAAUUUUCAUACUGAAACAAACUUUUUGUUCAUUACAUGGAUCAUAGAUUUUAUUUAGGAGAAUCUAAAGAAUAUAAGAUAAAUCCUACCACUAAAAUAACAUACAACGAGUACAUGAUGAUAAUAGAUUUUAAUUUAGGAUCAUAUAAAUAGAGUUCGUACAUGUUUAGUAAACAAGAACUUGUUAGAACAGAAGACUUAUUAGCAGUACACUCGCUUAAUUUACCUAAAGAAAUACAAUGGAAAAUUAUAGAAUACAUUGAAAUAGAGAAUUUAAAACAUAAUAUAAUUAUGUUAACAAUAGAACAAGGAAUUGAUAUAGCAAAGACAUAUUUAGAACAAAAAGAUUACAAAGCAGAACCUUCAUACACCUAUAACUCGGAUAAUGAAGAAUUUGAAAUAUAACCUAAGAAAUACGAAAAGUAUAUAGGCUGGAAACAUCUUCGAGUUGCGGGCUACUAGUCCAAAGUGCUAUUUUAAUAGCUGUACUUAGAGGUGGAACAACACCAUGUACUUUUCUACUCUUAAUAAAAAUUAAUGUAAGUUGCAUAAAAAUGUAUUCUCUCUAUGUUUGAGUAAAUAUAAUCUGUUAAUCAUAUAUGUUUAUUUGUUAAUAUUUAUAAUUUUUUAUUUAUUUUUGUAAUUUCGUACUUCAAUUUAGUAAUUUUGUGAUUUUGUUCUAAUUUUGUAAUUUUGUUUUUGUUAAUACACGAACUGGUAUCAGAGCCAUAGACUUCAUGGACCCUAUAAGAGCUAUAGUAGAUAGUUUAUAUACAUUAAAGGUAUAUAAUAAAGAAGAAAUAAAAAAUUUAAUAAAAGCACUUAAAACUGAUAAAAAUAAUAUAAGAAAUAUAGAACUUGAAUUAACUGAGGAACUUAGAGAAAGAUUUAUAGAUACAAUAGGCAGUGAAAUUUUAAUAGAAAAGAAAAUGAAGUUUAUAGAUGAAUUUAUAAAAUUUUUAAUAUAUUGGUAUACAACAGAAGCAUUAUGAACCAACAAGCAUUUAAUACAAUACAAGAAUUGGCAAGUAGUGUAGAUCACAUGAUUUUAGGAUGGGAAAACAUAAUAAAUAUAUAUAUAAAUCUGAUAAAUCAAAAAAUAGAUUUAUUAGAACAAGAAUGGAUAGGAUUAAUAAAUUUAGGACCAGGGAUCUAUUCUGAAUUUGUAGACCUAUAUGAAUUUGAUAAUCAUUUACUGUUAUUCAAAGAAAUAAAUAAAACUUUAGAAAGAAUAAAAAAAUAGAUGUAUAGGGAUGGAAGAAGGUAAAUGCAUCCAUAACUGUGAAAAAAUUGAAAAUAGAAAAAUUAAAAGGACCUAUAUGAAAUUAGCCAAAAAAGAAAAGACAAAAGUCGUAAGUUACGAUAAACGUAACUUAGGCACUCCCUUAUUUUAUUUUUUAUAUUAUUUUUUCUUCCAUCUCUCUAUUUUUUUCUUCGUUCUUUUAAAUAUGCUCACUCUUUUAUUUAUGCUUCUCCAUGUCUAAUUAUAUUUAAAUUUUCUUUUGAAGUAGAUUGUUAUUAAAGUUAUACAAACUAACGUUCAUAAGUUUGCCAAUUUUCUUAGUUCUCCUCUAUAAAUAACAUACUAUCAUCACGAAUUUUCUUAUUACUUUACUGUUGUUUAUCCAGUAUUUAGUUCUGACUUAUCCAACUUGGCUAUCUAUUUGAAGUUUAAACCAUGAGUUGCCACGUUUUUAUAUUAUUCUUGAGUGGCUAAAUAUAACGCAUGUAUGCAUAAAAAGUUUUGAGCUAAUUAAACAUAAUUUUCUAUUUUUUAAAAAACCGAUAUCGACCUAAAGAUAAUUUUGUAAAAAAAAAAAAGAAACUAGCCAAUUAAACUUAAUUCUCGUUAGAUAGUUAUGUUAUAUUGAUAAAUAUGAAAUAGGUAAAUAGAAGAUUCACAAGGUGUGUGAUGAUCAACAUAAAAAUAAGUGAUCAAUCUAGUUGAUAUUUUGACAUUCUAAUUGUAACCAGGUUCCAGGUACCUUGCAACAGUCUCAAGGUACCACAGAUUUUUAUCUUUUGUGAUGUCAAAUUUUAUUUAACCCCUUAUCUUCCUUUUUAUUUAUAGUUUAUUUAU